ACUAACUGGAGGACCGAACCGACUAAUGUUGAAAAAUUAGCGGAUGACUUGUGGCUGGGGGUGAAAGGCCAAUCAAACCGGGAGAUAGCUGGUUCUCCCCGAAAGCUAUUUAGGUAGCGCCUCGUGAAUUCAUCUCCGGGGGUAGAGCACUGUUUCGGCAAGGGGGUCAUCCCGACUUACCAACCCGAUGCAAACUGCGAAUACCGGAGAAUGUUAUCACGGGAGACACACGGCGGGUGCUAACGUCCGUCGUGAAGAGGGAAACAACCCAGACCGCCAGCUAAGGUCCCAAAGUCAUGGUUAAGUGGGAAACGAUGUGGGAAGGCCCAGACAGCCAGGAUGUUGGCUUAGAAGCAGCCAUCAUUUAAAGAAAGCGUAAUAGCUCACUGGUCGAGUCGGCCUGCGCGGAAGAUGUAACGGGGCUAAACCAUGCACC
rnacentral:rRNA from 1 species